GUGCUUGCUUCAGCACAUAUACUAAAAUUAGGAUGAUGCAGAGAAGAUUAGCAUGGCACCUGCACAAGGAUGACAUGCAAAUUCAUGGAGCAUUUCAUAUAUUU
rnacentral:snRNA from 1 species